rnacentral:rRNA from 1 species
UAGUCUUAACGGUGGAUCACUCGGCUUGUGCAUCGUUGAAGAAUGCAUCUAGCUGUGAGAACUAAUGUGAAUUGCAGGACACAUUGAUCACCGACACUUCGAACACACCUUGCGGCCCUGGGUUCCUCCCGGGGCUACGUCUGUCUGAGGGUUG